UACAUGUGGGGCAAGCGCUGUUCGGAAUUACUGGGCCUAAAGGGCGCGUAGGCGGCCUUGCGUGUCUUUCGUGAAAUCCCUCGGCUUAACUGAGGACGUGCGGAAGAAACUGCAGGGCUCGAGUCCGGGAGAGGGGGGUGGAAUUCCCAGUGUAGCGGUGAAAUGCGUAGAUAUUGGGAGGAACACCGGUGGCGAAGGCGGCCCCCUGGACCGGUACUGACGCUGAGGCGCGAAAGCGUGGGGAGCAAACGGG
rnacentral:rRNA from 1 species